rnacentral:rRNA from 1 species
GAUGAACGCUGGCGGCGUGCUUAACACAUGCAAGUCGAACGAUGAAGCCCAGCUUGCUGGGUGGAUUAGUGGCGAACGGGUGAGUAACACGUGAGUAACCUGCCCUUGACUUUGGGAUAACUUCAGGAAACUGGCUAAUACCGGAUAGGAGCUCCUGCUGCAUGGUGGGGGUUGGAAAGUUUCGGCGGUUGGGGAUGGACUCGCGGCUUAUCAGCUUGUUGGUGGGGUAGUGGCUUACCAAGGCUUUGACGGGUAGCCGGCCUGAGAGGGUGACCGGCCACAUUGGGACUGAGAUACGGCCCAGACUCCUACGGGAGGCAGCAGUGGGGAAUAUUGCACAAUGGGCGGAAGCCUGAUGCAGCAACGCCGCGUGCGGGAUGACGGCCUUCGGGUUGUAAACCGCUUUCGCCUGUGACGAAGCGUGAGUGACGGUAAUGGGUAAAGAAGCACCGGCUAACUACGUG